rnacentral:tRNA from 1 species
GCGGUGGUGUUGGGCUCUGGCGGAGGCGGCGGGAUUUGAACCCGCGAGGGGGUUCAACUCCCCCAACCCGCU